rnacentral:rRNA from 1 species
AUGACGUCAAGUCCUCAUGGCCUUUAUGUCCAGGGCUACACACGUGCUACAAUGGCCGGUACAGACGGUUGCGAAGCCGCGAGGUGGAGCUAAUCUGAGAAAGCCGGUCGUAGUCCGGAUUGGAGUCUGCAACUCGACUCCAUGAAGUCGGAAUCGCUAGUAAUCGUGAAUCAGAAUGUCACGGUGAAUACGUUCCCGGGCCUUG